AAAAGAGGAUCUCAGUCUAAGAACAUCGCAUACUAAGAUAGCGACUGAGUGACCAACAUCAUGUUGG
rnacentral:sRNA from 1 species